CCACAUUUCAUUUCAUUUGGUGUUUUCCUGGAUGCGUACGUGAAAGACAGCCGUACCGUUUUUUCUCUCUCUCUUAUCCUUCGCAAAGGCAAGACAAAGGCUGCUCUGCAACGCAGCCCUCCGCUUUAAGCUCAGAAUCGCCAUUUCUCUCUCUCUCUAAAACGGACCAGAUGGCCGCCGCGACGGCGACGCCGGAGAACGGCGGCGGGGGAGUGGCGACUGCUUCUCAGGCAUACCUGGAGAGCCAGGCGGUGAAGGACACCAGGAGCCUGAUGUCGGAGCUCUGCCGCCACUUCUACACCCUCGGGUGGAUGUACGGGACGGACGGCAGCAUCGCCAUGAGGGUCCACGACGACUCCGUCCCGCGGCCUCACCAGCUCAUCCUCAUGUCCCCUUCCGGAGUCCAGAAGGAGAGAAUGGAACCCAAGGACUUGUACGUGUUGUCUGCAGACGGUUCUACCUUGUCUUCACCGUCUCCGAAGCCUUACCCAAAUAAGGCACCUAAGUGUACGGGCAGCACCGAUGUUUUCUUGAAGGUAUUCGAGUUGCGCAAUCCAGGAGCAGUCAUCCACAGUCACGGAAUGGAAUCAUGCCUUGUAACCAUGAUCAAUCCCUUAGCAAAAGAAUUUAGAAUUACUCAUAUGGAGAUGAUUAAAGGAAUCCAAGGGCAUGGUUAUUAUGAUGAACUUGUGAUCCCAAUCAUAGAGAAAACUGCUCGUGAAUAUGAACUCACAGAAUCUCUUGCAAAAGCGAUAGAAGCAUACCCAAGAUCGACAGCUGUACUUCUUCGGAACCACGGUAUAUAUUCAUGGGGAGACUCAUGGAUCAGUGCUAAAACACAGGCUGAAUGUUACAGUUAUCUCUUUGAUGCUGCAAUCAAACUUAAUCAAAUGGGUUUGGAUUGGUCGUCUCCAAAUCAUGGCCCUCUUCAAUAUGGCAAAGGCACGUUAGCUGAUGGCGGGACAGCUGGAAUAAUCGGAUCUAGUCUUCAAAUGAAGCCACUUCCAAGCUGCAUUCUUCUGGACAUUGAAGGAACCACUACUCCAAUAACAUUCGUGACUGAUGUUCUCUUUCCAUAUGCACGGGAUAAUGUUGCGAGGCAUUUGUCUGCGGCAUUUGAUACUUUAGAAACUCAAGAUGACAUCAAAUUGAUACGGAUCCAGGUCGAAGAUGAUUUGGCAAAAGAUGUUCCUGGGGCCUUACCCAUUCCUCCAGAUGAAGUAGGGAAAGAGAAAGUGAUAGCGGCUUUGGUUGCUAACAUCGAAGCAAUGAUAAAAGCUGAUCGCAAGAUCACUGCCUUGAAACAAUUGCAAGGUCACAUAUGGCGAACUGGGUUUCAGAAUCAGGAAUUGAAGGGCGAAGUAUUUGAGGAUGUACCAGUGGCUCUUGAAAAAUGGAAUGCCCUGGGCAUAAAGGUAUACAUAUAUUCUAGUGGCAGCAGAUUAGCACAAAGACUCUUAUUUGGGAAUACAAAUCAUGGAGAUCUGAGGAAGUAUCUUUAUGGAUUUUUUGACACAACAGUGGGACUUGAGUCAGAGCUUUUGAACUACUCAGGUACUGGAGAUUUAUUUUAUAGCUUAUAUCUUUCGUGUGUAGGAACAAAAAAGAAACAAAUAGUUAUGUCGAGAUAGCGGAGUCACUAGGAGUUGAUAAUCCAUCAGAGAUAUUAUUUCUGACUGAUGUCCAUCAAGAAGCUGUUGCUGCAAAGAAUGCAGGCCUUCAGGUGAUUGUCUCUGUCCGGCCUGGAAAUGGACCUCUUCCAGAAAAUCACGGGUUCAAAACAAUCCAUUCAUUCAUGGAGAUCUGAUGGCAGAAUUUGGCGUAGUUAUCCUGAAUCUGGUAUUGGUAAAUGGCUCAUCGAUUUUCAUGUUAUUUCACUCACAUAAUUGGUUAUGGAUCAGAUGUGUGGUGCGUUUUUUUGUUCCCAUCAUCAUAGCAAGUCAACUGCAUGUUGACCCUUAUUGUGUAUCCUGACAAAGAAAACCCUAUGUAGCUGGUAGACCUAGCAUAUCAAGGAAUGUAUACACAUGUCCUUACUUAUUUUCAUACAUGGAAAACAGAGCAUAGCCACUAACAAA